AACGCUGGCGGCGUGCUUAACACAUGCAAGUCGAGGGUAGCAAUACACUGGGCGCAAGGGUGCGUAACGCGUAGAUUAUCUGCCCCAUACACUAACAUAACGCUUGGAAACGGGUGCUAAUAUUAGAUGAGGUGCUUCGGCAUCAAAGUUUCGACGGUAUGGGAUGAGUCUGCGUCUGAUUAGCUAGUUGGUAGUGUAAUGGACUACCAAGGCGACGAUCAGUAGCUGGUCUGAGAGGACGAUCAGCCACACUGGAACUGAGACACGGUCCAGACUCCUACGGGAGGCAGCAGUGAGGAAUUUUGCGCAAUGGACGAAAGUCUGACGCAGCGACGCCGCGUGUGGGAUGAAGGGGCUACGCCCUGUAAACCACUGUUAGAUGUGAAAAAAAAGAUGGCUUUGCCGUCCGGGAUUGUAACAUCAAAGAAAGGACCGGCUAACUACGUG
rnacentral:rRNA from 1 species